rnacentral:rRNA from 1 species
GCCACUGCUAUUGGGGAUCGGCUAAGCCAUGCGAGUGGAGGGCGUCCCGCAAGGGAUGGCCCCGCAGACGGCUCAGUAACACGUCGUCAACCCACCUUAGGGUGGGGGACAACCUCGGGAAACUGAGGAUAAUCCCCCAUAGGCGGGGGAGGCUGGAAUGCGCCCCCGCUGAAAGCUCAGGCGCCCUAGGACGGGACGGCGGCCUAUCAGGUAGUUGGUGGUGUGACG